AGCUAAUCAUUGAAAUGGUUAGUUGCAAAAUAAUGUUAAAUGCACAGUUUGGUAUUGUCUAGUAAUCAGACAUCAGAAUGAACAGAGAAAGAGAUGAGCCCUCAUCCCAAAAUCUUGAUGCUGUGAGAUGGCAAUUUAUGACAUGAAAUAAAGUGGAUCUACAGUGCAUGUCAUAUGCCCUCUAGUGAUAAUUUCUGCAAAAUUGGUGAAUAUCUAUACUUAUGCAUGCACAUACUUGAGGUGACACUUUGUGUGUUUAUGAUGAUCAUCUACUCUGUGUGUGUGUACAUGAGCAUGCAUGCAAAAGGAGAAGAGAGAGAUGCACCAUGAUGAGUCCUCUGGAUGAGAUCAUCAAGCUCUGUCUUGAUAGCAAGAUACAGCUUCUUCCACUUAUGCACAGCCUCAUCUCUCCACACUCUUUCCUCCUCCAUUUGCUUAACCAAGAAGGCAGAACCCAUCCUUGAAAAUGAGCAAUUUUGCUCACUUUUCUCCUCCAUCCUCCUCUCUUCCAUAUCUCUAAUCCUCUUUUCCUUCUCUUCCAACAUCAUCCUCAGCCUCUUCGCUUCCUGUUUAAGCCUCUUGCUCUCUUGCUUCCACUUGGCUUCUUUAAAUUCUAAAACCAUCAUGUCUCUCUCAUAAGCUCUACUCUCAUUCUCUCUUUCAGACAUCAGAGCUUUUAUGUCCUCUUGGAGAAGCCUUACCUUCUCCGUCAACCCUCUAAGAUAUUUCUUACGGGUGUUGCUGCUCUUUUUCUUUACACCAAAGCAAUCCAUAUUUAGCAGCUUCCGCUUUUCCUCUUUGGCUUUCUUGCUAUCCCUCAUAAAUCGAGCCGAAUCUUCUCUUCUAAUUUAAUAUAUCAAAAAGAGAAAAGAUCGAGAAAGUGACAAGGAUAUGGUGGGGUUUUGGAUUAGAAAACAAUUGUGUUAAUGAUAUAUAUUCCUUUCAGAGGCUCCUCUGUCAGUGAAGAGCUGCCCAUAAUCAAAAUCCAUGUUAUUGUGCCCAUAUAUACACGUAUGUCAACCCAUAUACAGUGCAACUUGAAGAUGGUUGUCUAUAUCUAAUCUCCAGCUUAUACAAAAGGAUGUGUACAAGAAAUCAUGCAUAUUCAUGGACAUACAUUCUGCCUAUUCACAUGCAUUAUUUUUGGAGCAUAUAUCGAGAUAUCAUGCCUACAAUUCACUAUCCACAAUCCAAUCAUUAACCUAUAUAAGUUGGUCCUGCCAUAUUCAUCAUUUAAAAGAUACAACUUGAUUGGAUAUGGGAAUUUAACGUAGAAAUUUGUCUUUGAAUUGAUGUACUGGUUACAUGUUUGAUUGGUUGUUUAGUAGUCGGUAGUUCACUGAAAGGAGUUAAGAGAAUGGGAAUUCUCGUUUAUGGAGAAGCCGAAAGUGUCUCUCCUUUGGUAGUUGGUAGUUAAUGAACUAAUGAACUUUAGCAAUCUGCCACUCUGGUUUCAACUAGGGACAUGGCCAUGUUCAUAUUAAUUGCUUUGGCUUCAAGCUGUGUCUAAGCAAAAAACUGAUAUGGUAUGAGUCCUCCCUAGUCUUUUGCUCUGUAUACCAAUAACGAACAAGAAUAGAGAAAAAUCUUGCUGUAAUUGAAACUACCUGUUAUACAAAAAUCCAAUGUUAUUAAUAAGUAUCAGACAUCGAAAAGCAUAUUCACUUGCAGAUGGUAUCUUUUUCUUUCUUACCAGAUACGUACAAAUAUACAUUUAUAGCUACAAAUGUACAUGUCUUUGGAUUCCCUGCCUGAAGGACUUGCAGAAUUGUAGUAUAAAAGGAAGGGGGUCCAUCCUGCAUUAACUUUGACACCUAUAAUUUUGUUGUUUUUCAUCUAGUCCUUGCAAUGUGUUGAUGGUGCAUGCUAAUUCUAUGCUAUGAAUUAUUGUGGUGGGAAAUUUUACUCGUAAUCAUGGUGAUUCCUUCCCAUGACCAUGAUGAGAGAUUCUUAAUAGUCCUCAGUCCUCACGUACGUAUACUGUUAUCUGAAUUUUGGAGAGCUACUACAACUCAUCUCUUGUCUUCAUUCGAGUAGAAGUAGUUGUUUGUCUGCGAGUUUUUAAAUGUUUAAAAUUAUUAUUGUAUAAUAUAAUAAAAUAUUACAUUAUUUCAUUAUACUUUUAAUUAUUUAUAUUUAUUAAUUCUUCAUAAUUAUUGAUAAUGAUCAUUAUAUUUUAGAAAAAUUACCUAAACAAUAAAUAACAUUUUAGGAGGUUGAAAAACUUUCAUGUAAUUCAUUUACUAAUAUUAUUGUUUAAAUGAUCUAUCAUGUAUAUAAAAGAGACUAAAUUCUUUAUUUUCUUAUUAGUCAAAAAGAUCUAUAGAGAGACAACAUGCAUAUGAAGAGGAGCGUUGGGCAAUGGCAGCUCUUUCGGCAGAUCGGGUCGGAUUCGAAUUUGGGGCAACAAUACGUUUUCUGCUGGAGGGCAGGGCCUUCUUGCUGGGUUGGAUCCUUUCCUUCAGAUCGUGUACUAAUAUUGGCCUUAAGUUGUUUAUCUCUUUUAGCUUUCUGAUGUAAGGCUAUUGAACCUAUUCCAACUGUUAUAUUGAACUUGGCCUUUUUAUUAAUGAAUCUCUAUUUUUUUUUUUCAAAAAAAAUUCACCCCUUAUAAAUAUAUUUU
rnacentral:lncRNA from 1 species